GAUGAACGCUGGCGGCGUGCCUAAUACAUGCAAGUCGAGCGAACAGACGAGGAGCUUGCUCCUCUGACGUUAGCGGCGGACGGGUGAGUAACACGUGGAUAACCUACCUAUAAGACUGGGAUAACUUCGGGAAACCGGAGCUAAUACCGGAUAAUAUAUUGAACAGCAUGGUUCAAUAGUGAAAGACGGGUUUGCUGUCACUUAUAGAUGGAUCCGCGCCGCAUUAGCUAGUUGGUAAGGUAACGGCUUACCAAGGCGACGAUGCGUAGCCGACCUGAGAGGGUGAUCGGCCACACUAGAACUGAGACACGGUCCAGACUCCUACGGGAGGCAGCCAUAGGGAAUCUUCCGCAAUGGGCGAAAGCCUGACGGAGCAACGCUGCGUGAGUGAUGAAGAUCUUCGGAUCGUAAAACUCUGUUAUUAGGGAAGAACAAAUGUGUAAGUAACUAUGCACGUCUUGACGGUACCUAAUCAGAAAGCCACGGCUAACUACGUG
rnacentral:rRNA from 1 species